GACAGAGGAUGCAAGCGUUAUCCGGAAUGAUUGGGCGUAAAGCGUCUGUAGGUGGUUUAAAAGUCUAUUGUUAAAAAUUGAAGCUUAACUUCAAAGAUGCAAUGGAAACUUUUAAACUUGAGUAUGGUAGGGUAGAGGGAAUUUCCAGUGGAGCGGUGAAAUGCGUAGAUAUUGGAAAGACCACCAAUGGCGAAGGCACUCUACUGGGCCAUUACUGACACUGAGAGACGAAAGCUAGGGGAGCAAAUGGG
rnacentral:rRNA from 1 species